GUGACCUCAAAUCAGGUAGGACUACCCGCUGAACUUAAGCAUAUCAAUAAGCGGAGGAAAAGAAACUAACAAGGAUUCCCCUAGUAACUGCGAGUGAAGCGGGAAAAGCUCAAAUUUAAAAUCUGGCGGCCUUUUUGCUGUCCGAGUUGUAAUCUAGAGAAGUGUUAUCCGCGCUGGACCGUGUACAAGUCUCCUGGAAUGGAGCAUCAUAGAGGGUGAGAAUCCCGUCUUUGACAUGGACUACCAGGGCUUUGUGAUGCGCUCUCAAAGAGUCGAGUUGUUUGGGAAUGCAGCUCAAAAUGGGUGGUAAAUUCCAUGCUAAAUAUUGGCGAGAGACCGAUAGCGAACAAGU
rnacentral:rRNA from 1 species